ACAAAUAAUAAAAACUGAAUAUAAAAUAUCAACUUACUUAAAAUCAAAACCUCGUAUAUUUAUUUUAUCUCAAUCAAAAUCAAACCAAAUAUUACUGAACAAAUCUCUAAAAUUUGAGUUUAUCUAACAAAAAUCCCCCUUAAACUUAAAUUUUUCAUCAUUUAUUCUCGACCUCUGCUUUGAGAUCUCUUCUCCUUAUUCUUCUCGAAAUCUGCUCCUUAUUCUUCUCUCCUCAUUUUUCUCCUUAUUCUUCUCUCUCCCUGAUCGUCUACGGCCUUGAGUAUUCCGAACUUCUACCCUUCAUGUGAAACUUUUCCUGAAGCACUUGAAGUAGUGGCUAAAAUU
rnacentral:lncRNA from 1 species